GGAAGAUUAGAACGUUUGGGUUUAUAGAGCUGCAGAGUCGAUAGGGGCUAGGAUCGAAGUUGUCAUGAAGGGCCAUCACAACAUCAAACUUAGAUAUAUGGCCCACUUAACUUUCCAAACUACUAAAAACAUGGUAGAAUAUGAGGCACUUUUAAUGGCGAUUCACAUCAUGAGAGAGGUAGGAAUACCGAAUAUUACUAUUUUUUGUGACUUACAAUU
rnacentral:misc_RNA from 1 species